rnacentral:lncRNA from 1 species
UACUAUCUAUUAAUCUUAACAAUCUAAACCCUGAAAACACUAGAAGUAAAGCUCAUAGCUACCUCUAAAAAUAAAUAAAUAAAAUGAAUCUACAUUGAAAAACAUAGAGGUCUUACAUGGAGAAGUGUCUUGGCGUCAUGUUUCUUGUACCGUGCUCUGUGGAUACUGUUUUUGUGAUAUACAGGUUCUGGCCUGCCGGAUUUUCUUUCUUUUGUUUUUUUUCCCCCUGCCUACGAGACAUAUGUAUGUGGGAUACAGUCUUCUGGCCCGAAUCCAUCUCUAAAUUUUCUUACUGCCAAAACCUACCCAUUCCGUACAUAUUCCCUUAACUUAACAGAGAUGCCAUAACGCAAUAAUAGCAAAUGAUUUUGGAGGAAAGAUAAAAACAAACUAGCUGUUACAAAAUGGGUAAUAACAUAAUGUUUAUUGCAAAGAAAGCUUAACCUAAAUGACUAUUUUAAAUGAUUAUUUAUA